UCAUGCACUCUUUGGUCGAAGCCUUCUGUCCUUCCCCAUUCGAGUAAGAUUCGUAUUCCCUUUGCGGAGUCGAAUGUCCAUCCUGUAAGUCGAUUUUCUUUUUCAAGCCCUCCUUUCGGAUGAUGAGUGUUUUGGAAGUAAACCCCAAUUCACGUCUUGGUCGGUCACCUAUUAUAUACCCAGUAACCGGUAUCCCUGGUGUUCCUUCC
rnacentral:lncRNA from 1 species